rnacentral:misc_RNA from 1 species
GAUGAAGACGUAGCGAAAUGCGAUAAGUAAUGUGAAUUGCAGAAUUCAGUGAAUCAUCGAAUCUUUGAACGCACAUUGCGCCCGCCAGUAUUCUGGCGGGCAUGCCUGUUCGAGCGUCAUUUCAACCAUCAAGCCCCAGGCUUGUGUUGGGGACCUGCGGCUGCCGCAGGCCCUGAAAACCAGUGGCGGGCUCGCUGUCACACCGGGCGUAGUAGAUUUUAUCUCGCUCAGGGCGUGCUGCGGGUUCCGGCCGUUAAAAAGCCUUUUUUACCCAAGGUUGACCUCGGAUCAGGUAGGAAGACCCGCUGAACUUAAGCAUAUCAAUAAGCAGAGGA